UUAAAAGACAAAGGAAGCGUCAGAUCCAUGCAAAUGAGGUGGAUGUAAUCCAAGUGGUCCAGACAGAGACAGAGGACGGCACGAAAGAUGCAGCACUGAAUUUAGAGGGAGUCUCUCACCUGUGCAGCACAGAGACAACACUUAGAGCAGACCACUCGCACGCCAUCACUUCCUGCUGACUGUCGGUGCCCGUCCUCUGCACCAGUCCGUACAGCUUGGGCCCAUUCUGGGGCUGCGGCG